rnacentral:rRNA from 1 species
AUGGAGUCCGCCUCGGCGCAAUCCGCCGCCGCCAAAAUUCCAAUCCCCACCCCCUCUCCUCCGAUAGCGCAGUCUGACUCCGACCAGCCCCCGAAGGCGAUGGCGACGGCGGAGGUGGAGGCAGCAAUCGCCGCGCUCCCGGCCAGGAAGGAGGCCUUGCGCGAGGCCUUCGACCGCCUCGCCGCCUGCUCGCCCUUCCCGCUCCCCUUCACCUGGGGCGAGCUCGACGUUCACAUCUCCUCCCUCCAGUCCUCCAUCUCGCUCCGCCACCGCCAGCUACGGGUCCUCGAGGGGGCCCGCUCCGCCCUCGCCGUUCCCGCACCACUCCCAACCGGCAAGCGCAAAAAUCAAGGAGACGAAGACACCACCAGCGAGGAGGAGGAGGUGGAGGAAGAGGAGUACGAGGAAGUGAUGGAGGAGGUGGAAGAAGAAGUGGAGGUGGAGGUGGAGGAGGAGGUGGAAGAAGAAGUGGAGGUGGAGGAGGAGGAUGCUGAUGAUGAGGAGGUGGUUGUGGAAGAGGAGGAGGAGGAGGAGGUCGUGGAGAUUGAAGAAGAUGAGGUAGAUGCCAACAAUGCGGCAGGCAAGCCGCAGAAGGACGGCGAGCAGAUGCUGGAAGCUGAAGAAGAGAAGGUGAAUGAGCAUAAGGUUUUGGAGGCCAGUGAUGAGGCCGAGAGGGACUGCAAGGUAGAGAAGGAUGAAGAGGAACCGCAGGUGUCUGACGAUGAGAUGGGGGAUGCCAAAGACGAGCAGCAGGAAGCCAAGAAGGUUUCUGUGAAAAAAGUGUGUAAUAAGGAUCUUGUAGCGGCAUGCUCUAGAAUGAACGUCGCAGGACUGGUGAAUAUCGUGUUUAACAACAACAUCGACCGUCAAGAGUACCCUGUGGCCAUGUGCAAUGCCAAAGAUGCCGCUGCUCUUGUCCUUGAUGUGGUUAGGAUCUUUCUGCCCAAAAAACAGACCAAGACCAACAGGAUCUGGGAGAACUGUGUUGCGCUGAUCCGCUGUGUGCCUGCUGUGUCACCCAAGCUUUCUGUGCGCAUGAUAGAUCAGGCCAAGCUGUUUGCCAAAUACUGGAAGAAGAAGAUCGGUGAGUCGGAGAUUUGUGGAGAUCAUGGCAUGCUGGACUCAUGGGCCUUCCUUAACUUCAUCAUUUCUUACAACAUUGUAUCAGAGUUUGAUGUCGAUGAGAUCAUCCGUCUCUAUGGCACUGUCCCACGCAAAUAUCAGAAGAAGAACUGCGUCAAUCUCUGCAAGGGUCUUGGUCUUGUCAGUAGGAUCAGCGACUUAAUUGAUUAUUUGAUUGAAAAUGGACAACAGUUGAGCGUCAUACCAAUGACACAGGUUCUUCAAUUGGUGGACAAAUAUCCACCACUUGCUCUUCUGGAGGGAUAUGUUGAGAAGGCAAAAGGGACUGCUCUAGAGUUACUUAGCAAGAAUGGAUUAGACAAGUCCCUGAAUCUGACCAUAUCAAAGGAGAUUGAGAAUCUUCGGCUUGCGGAAUCUAUGGUUAAACAGCAACUCACUGAUUCAAGAAAAUCGGUUACUAUCUUGGAAGAGAUUAACAAAUUGUUAGUUGAGUAUGCAAAGAGCCGUAUUACAACAAAUGCCUCUACUACAUCGACAUUAAAUUCAAGGCAGCAGCAAAAGACCCAACAGCAGAAGCAAAAGCAGAAAUACAAGAAGCACAAGAAGGAGCAGCAGCAACACGAGGGACAAGUUGGCCAAGUGCAGGGGAAACAAAGAAAGCUGGAAGGGAAACAGCUGUACUUAAACCAGCCAAGGCCAUGUGUUACCAAGCUACCAACUCCAACUGGUCCUUCCGCAAGAUCUCUAUCACCUGUGAUUCCGAAUGUGACACAGAUUGGCCCCAUUGGGCAUCGGCCGUUUGAUUUAAUGCCUGCAAUUCCUCUACCAUUUUUACCGGGAAUUCAAGGUGGGCCAGUUGCAGCAAAUGUCGUACCUACUCGGCAUAAUCCUUUCCAGCAAAAUCCUUUAUACCGCCAUCCGUCAUUCCACCCCUAG